rnacentral:rRNA from 1 species
CGGACAGGGGUACGCCGGCCGGUGGAUGCCUCGGCUUGGGCGCCGAGGAAGGACGUGGCAAGCUGCGAUAAGCCCCGGGUACCCGCAGGCAGGGGUAGAUCCAGGGAUCUCCUAAUGGGACAUCCUGCGGCGGGCUUCGGCCUGCCGCGGUCCCGGCCUGAGCCGGGAUCGGGAACCCCCCGAACGGAAGCAUCCAAGUAGGGGGAGGAGAAGAAAUCAAACGAGAUUCCCCUAGUAGGGGCGACCGAACGGGGAGGAGCCCAAACCGAACCCCCCGGGGAAACUCGGGGGGAAUGUGGGGUUAAGGGCCGGGGGUCCACCCUGAAGCCCGAGCCGAACUCCCCUGGAAUGGGGGGCCGUAGAGGGUGAUAGCCCCGUAGGCGAAGGGCGGAUGGGUGAUGCCCCGGAUCCCAGAGUACCGCACCUCGGAUAUGGUGCGGGAAGUUGGGGGCCACUGGCCUCCAAGGCUAAAUACGUCCCAAGACCGAUAGCGGACCAGUAGCGUGAGCGAAAGGUGAAAAGUACCCCGAGAGGGGGGUGAAAAGCGCCUGAAACCGGCCGGUAACAGACGAGGGCGGCCCGAAAGGGAAAUCCCCGUCAAGGCCCCGAAAGGGGCCGCGCGGGGACAAUCCCAGGGUCGUCCGCUCCGUCUUGAAACACGGGCCGGGGAGUUCACAGGUGUGGCGAGUCUAAGGGCUGAAAGCCCGGAGGCGUAGGGAAACCGAGCGCCCGCGGCCGGAGGAAGCUCCGGCGAGGGGCGGGGUCUGAAAGGGCCUGUAGCCACGCCUGUGAGGCUAGAAACCGGGCGAUCUAGUCCUGGGCAGGGCGAAGCCGGGGGAAACCCCGGUCGAGGCCCGAAUAGGGGUCCUGACGUGCAAUUCGGUCCCCUGACCUGGGGCUAGGAGUCAAAAGCUAACCGAGCCCGGUGAUAGCUAGUUCCCCCCGAAGUGUCUCGCAGGACAGCCCCGGGGGAGGUUGCCUGCGGGGUAGGGCACUGAUAGGGGAGAAAGGGGCCGAUGAGGCCCCACUCUCCUUUCAAACUACGAACCCGCGGGCGCCGCAGAUCCCGGGAGUGGGGUACUGGGGGUAAGCUCCAGGACCGAGAGGGGAACAACCCAGACCUCGGGUUAAGGCCCCUAAGUGCCCGCUAAGUGACAAACCGAAGGGCGUCUCCGUCCUGAGACAGCGGGGCCGUAGGCUUAGAAGCAGCCAUCGGCUAAGAAGUGCGUAACAGCUUACCCGCCGAGGACGGGGGCCCCGAAAAUUGACGGGUCUAAGCGGGCCGCCGAAACCCGGGCUCACCCGUGCCUUGCACGGGUGGGGGUAGGGGGGCGUGGCGGCUGGGCAGAAGCGGGGCCGUGAGGUCCCGUGGACCGGCCGUUAAUGCAGAUCCCGGUGGUAGUAGACAGCGAAGAGGGGUGGAAAUCCCCUCCGCCGGAAGGGCACGGGUUUCCCGGCAAUGCGUCGUCAGCCGGGAGUAAGCCGGUCCUAAGGCCGACCUUAACCGGGUAGGCCGAAGGGGAAGCCGGUUAACAUUCCGGCGCCCCGCGGGUAGGUGCGGCGACGCAGGCCGGACCCCCGACGCUUCGGGGUAGGCCGAGCAGGGCCGUAGCCCUGCCCAAGCGCUGAAGCCUGGGGAGUGCCGUAACGGCGAGAACCAGGUGAAGGCGUGACGGGGCGGCGUAUGCCGCUUCGGCCGAUCCCUGGAGCCAGUGAAAAGGGGGCCCGGAACGAUCCCGCGGGACCGUACCUAGAUCCGACACCGGUGCCCCUGGCUGAGAAGGCCAAGGCGUCUGGGGUGACUCCGGGCCAGGGAACUCGGCAAAUUGGCCCCGUAACCUCGGGAGAAGGGGUGCCUGCCUUCCCCUCCGACGAGGAGGGGUUGGCAGGUCGCAGUGACAAGGGGGUCCCGACUGUUUAAUAAAAACAUAGGAAGCCGCAAGGCCGAAAGGCUUUGAACGGCUUCUGAAUCCUGGCCAGCACCGGUACCUGAAACCCGGGUCCAACCGGGAUAAGGGCCGGCUAGCGCCGGGGGUAAUCCUGACCCUCUUAAGGUAGCCAAAUGCCUUGUCGGGUGAGUUCCGACGCGCAUGAAUGGAUCAACGAGGGCCCCACUGUCCCGGCCCGGAGCCCCGUGAACCCACAUAACGUGGACGAACAGUCCACGAACCCCCAGCGGGGAGAGAAGACCCUGUGGAGCUUUACUGCAGCCUGUCGCUGCGGGAUGGCCCUGGGUGCAUAGCGUAGCCGGGAGCCGUCGAUCCGGGCCUCUCCGGGGGCCCGGGGAGGCGCCAAUGUAACACCGGCCACCUGGGGCUGUCCCGCUAACCGGGGCCUGUGCCCUGGGACAACGGCAGGUGGGCAGUUCGGCUGGGGCGGCACUCCCCCGAAAAGAUAUCGGGGGAGCCCAAAGGUCGGCUCAGGCGGGACAGAAACCCGCUGUAGAGUGCAAGGGCAAAAGCCGGCCUGACAGGACCCUCGAACGCAAGGGGUCCUGAGGGGAAACCCGGGCCUAGCGAUCCAUCGGCCCCUACCAGUGGGGGCCGGUGGUGACAGAAAAGUUACCCCAGGGAUAACAGGCUCGUCGCGGGCGAGAGUCCCCAUCGACCCCGCGGCUUGGUACCUCGAUGUCGGCUCUUCCCAUCCUGGCCUCGCAGCAGGGGCCAAGGGUGAGGCUGCUCGCCUAUCAAAGGGGAACGUGAGCUGGGUUUAGACCGGCGUGAGCCAGGUCGGAUUCUACCUGCUGGGGGUGCGGGCCGCCUGAGGGCAGGGUCCUCCUAGUACGAGAGGAACGGAGGGCCGGGGCCAACGGUGUACCGGUCGUCCUACAGGGCGACGCCGGGCAGCCGCGCCCCUGGGGAUAAGGGCUGAAAGCAUCUAAGCCCGAAGCCCCUCCCAAAAAUAGGCGGCCAAUCGGGGACUAUAGGGCCCGGCAACGGGCCUUGGUCCCCGACGAGGGCUCCCCUAGAAGAGGGGGUUGAUGGGGUGGGCGUGUAAGGGCGGAGGCGAAAGCCGGACGCCCUCAGCGCGCCACUCCCAAUCGCCCGAGCUGUCCGG